rnacentral:lncRNA from 1 species
UGAAGGUAGUCUAAGGGCCUUGAGAGAGGUAACCAUGGAUGCUUUGCUGGCGGCCAUAAUGAGCGUAAAACAUGAUUGUAUUGGUCGAAUGAAGAGAGAGGAGGGAGGGAUGGACGGGAUGGAGGGUUCUUUUUCAAGGAGAAUGGAUACAUUGGAAGUUCGUUUAGAUUCCAACCAUUCAAGUCCCAAACACUACCAUGCCUUGACUAGUGGACAUGUUACCACCCCGGAUACACUUCACCAAUUGCUCAAUCCACCUAGACCAACCCAUGAACCCAUC